rnacentral:rRNA from 1 species
AUUGAACGCUGGCGGCAUGCCUUACACAUGCAAGUCGAACGGCAGCACGGGAGCAAUCCUGGUGGCGAGUGGCGAACGGGUGAGUAAUGUAUCGGAACGUACCUUUCAGUGGGGGAUAACGUAGCGAAAGUUACGCUAAUACCGCAUAUUCUGUGAGCAGGAAAGCAGGGGAUCGCAAGACCUUGCGCUGAUUGAGCGGCCGAUAUCAGAUUAGCUAGUUGGGGAGGUAAAGGCUCACCAAGGCGACGAUCUGUAGCGGGUCUGAGAGGAUGAUCCGCCACACUGGAACUGAGACACGGUCCAGACUCCUACGGGAGGCAGCAGUGGGGAAUUUUGGACAAUGGGCGCAAGCCUGAUCCAGCCAUGCCGCGUGAGUGAAGAAAGGCCUCGGUUGUAAAGUA